GUCACCCACAGUGGGGCUGCCCCACAUCUGAGCCACAGCUCUGCCCCACAUCUGAGCCGUGGCUGCCCCACGGCAGGGCCGGCCCAUGGCUGGCCCACACUGGGGCUGGCCCACAGCUCUGACCCACAGCUGACCCACGGCGGGGCUGCCCCAUCACUGCCCCAUAACCUUCUCUCCCCCCUCAGCAGCCACCAAGGGCGUUUGGGGCGGUGGGGCCCGGACCUGCCCCAUAAGCGCCCUCAGAGCCACCGUGGGGAGGGGAUUUGGGCUGGGGAGGGGGCGACUUGUGGGGCUGACAGCGACGGCUGCCCCAUAGCAGCCCCCAGCCGUGCCCAGGGGGGCGUUUGGGGUGGGAUCUGUGGGGCUCAGCUCGACAUCUGUGGGGCACAGCAGCUGCUUGUGGGGCAGAGCUCAGGAUUUGGGGGGAAAGCUCAAGAUCUGGGGGGCAGAGCUCCAGAUUCGGGGGGCUCUGUUGGGGGGCAGAGCUCCGGAUUUGGGGGCUCAUUUGGGGGGCAGAGCUCCAGAUUCGGGGGGCUCUGUUGGGGGGCAGAGCUCCAGAUUUGGGGGUUCAUUUGGGGGGCAGAGCUCCGGAUUUGGGGGCUCAUUUGGGGGGCAGAGCUCCGGAUCUGUGGGGCUCUGUUGUGGGGGAAAGCUCAAGAUUUGGGGGUCAGAGUUCCAGAUUUGGGGGGCUCUGUUGUGGGGCUCUGUUGUGGGGCAGAGCAGCUCCCCCGUGCCCCCCACAUCCCCCCCCCCAACUUUAACCGUGCCUCAGUUUCUCUCUCUCUCCCUGCUGCCGAGGUCUCGCCCCGGCCCCACGGACAGAGACCCCCGGACCCCCGCCCGCCCCACGGAGGACGGAGAGACCCCCGGAGGGACCCCCAGGCCGCGGCCCCGCCCUCAACAACGGAGCCCCCACCCCCCCCGGGACCCUCCCCCAUCGCCGCCGCCGCACACGGAGCCCCCACCCCCACCCCCAAAAUUCCAGCCAGAUUUGGGGAGGGGGCUCCCCCCACCGCCCACCCGGGGGGGCUCCAGCGCCGCCGCCCGCCGCCAUCAUCAUCAUCAUCGCCACCACGGCUCCUCCUCCUCCUCCCCUGGGUCUUCUUUGCGCUGCUCAAAUUCCCCUUUUUUGGUUCGUAUUUAAUUUAUUUCCACCCCCCACCCGUCCUCCCCCCAUCCCCCCCCCCCCCCCCUCCCCCGCUCGUCUCUCUGCAGGUAAAAUCGCCCCUCCCCCUCCCCUCUUUCCCCCCCCCCCCUCCCCUCUCCUUUUUUUCUCUUUUUUAA
rnacentral:lncRNA from 14 species